rnacentral:rRNA from 1 species
GAUGAACGCUGGCGGCGUGCUUAACACAUGCAAGUCGAACGAUGAAGCCCAGCUUGCUGGGUGGAUUAGUGGCGAACGGGUGAGUAACACGUGAGUAACCUACCCUUAACUCUGGGAUAAGCCUGGGAAACUGGGUCUAAUACCGGAUAGGAGCGUCCACCGCAUGGUGGGUGUUGGAAAGAUUUAUCGGUUUUGGAUGGACUCGCGGCCUAUCAGCUUGUUGGUGAGGUAAUGGCUCACCAAGGCGACGACGGGUAGCCGGCCUGAGAGGGUGACCGGCCACACUGGGACUGAGACACGGCCCAGACUCCUACGGGAGGCAGCAGUGGGGAAUAUUGCACAAUGGGCGCAAGCCUGAUGCAGCGACGCCGCGUGAGGGAUGACGGCCUUCGGGUUGUAAACCUCUUUCAGUAGGGAAGAAGCGAAAGUGACGGUACCUGCAGAAGAAGCACCGGCUAACUACGUG